rnacentral:rRNA from 1 species
AUUGAACGCUGGCGGCAGGCCUAACACAUGCAAGUCGAACGAGUGGCGGACGGGUGAGUAAUGUCUGGGAAACUGACUGAUGGAGGGGGAUAACUACUGAAAACGGUAGCUAAUACCGCAUACCAUCAGAUGUGCCCAGAUGGGAUUAGCUAGUUGGUGGGGUAAAGGAUCACAAAGGCGACGAUCCCUCGCUGGUCUGAGAGGAUGACCAGCCACACUGGAACUGAGACACGGUCCAGACUCCUACGGGAGGCAGCAGUGGGGAAGAUUGCACAAUGGGCGAAAGCCUGAUGCAGCCAGGCCGCGUGUAUGAAGAAGGCCUGCGGGUUGUAAAGUACUUUCAGCGGGGAGGCGUUAACCGCAGAAGAAGCACCGGCUAACUCCGUGCCAGCAGCCGCGGUAAUAC